UGUUUAACGUGAUGUUGGUUGAUGAAAAUUGAUUACCGUAUAGAUGACUUUUAGGGGGCGUUUGGUUCGCGCUAUCGUUGUAAGAUUUCUAAUAAUUCAAUAGAAAUAAAAAAAAAAUGACGGUGUUUGGCUAAACACACUAAGUAAUUUAGUUGGUAAUACUAGAUUUACUUAGGAAUGAAAUGCAUCCCAAAGUACUAAUCUCAUUACUGUGAGGGCAUGUUUGGUUCAAGGGUGGAAUUGGAAUGGAUAAUGGAAUGGGAAUGAAUUGGAAUGAUAAUUGGAAUGGCCCACUCCCCCAAGACGUUUGGUUUAUUUAUGGAUUGGGAAUUGGAAUGAGUUAUUUACAUUUCAUUAUUUGGUUCGUAUAAACUAAAAAAAUUAUAGAAUACUAUAAUACUAAUUUUACUCUCAAAUAUAAAUUUAUAUUAUUUAAAAUUUAUGAAAAAUAUAAUACUAUUCUCUAAUAA
rnacentral:lncRNA from 1 species